GAUGAACGCUGGCGGCGUGCCUAACACAUGCAAGUCGAGCGGCAGCGAGGGGUGCUUGCACCCUGUCGGCGAGCGGCGGACGGCUGAGUAACGCGUGGGAACGUGCCCCAAAGUGAGGAAUAACUGCCCGAAAGGGUAGCUAAUACCGCAUAUUAUCUUCGGAUCAAAGGAUUUAUCCGCUUUGGGAGCGGCUCGCGUCGGCUUAGGUAGUUGGUGAGGUAAUGGCUCACCAAGCCGACGAUCCGUAGCUGGUCUGAGAGGAUGACCAGCCAGACUGGAACUGAGACACGGUCCAGACUCCUACGGGAGGCAGCAGUGAGGAAUCUUCCACAAUGGGCGAAAGCCUGAUGGAGCAACGCCGCGUGCAGGACGAAGGCCUUCGGGUUGUAAACUGCUUUUAUAAGUGAGGAAUAUGACGGUAACUUAUGAAUAAGGAUCGGCUAACUACGUG
rnacentral:rRNA from 1 species